rnacentral:rRNA from 1 species
UACGGAAGGCAGCAGUGGGGAAUAUUGCACAAUGGGCGCAAGCCUGAUGCAGCCAUGCCGCGUGUAUGAAGAAGGCCUUCGGGUUGUAAAGUACUUUCAGUCGUGAGGAAGGUGUUAAGGUUAAUAACCUUAGCAAUUGACGUUAGCGACAGAAGAAGCACCGGCUAACUCCGUGCCAGCAGCCGCGGUAAUACGGAGGGUGCGAGCGUUAAUCGGAAUUACUGGGCGUAAAGGGCACGCAGGCGGUUAAUUAAGUUGGAUGUGAAAUCCCCGGGCUUAACCUGGGAAUGGCAUUCAAGACUGGUUAGCUAGAGUCUUGUAGAGGGGGUAGAAUUCCAUGUGUAGCGGUGAAAUGCGUAGAGAUGUGGAGGAAAUACCGGUGGCGAAAGGCGGCCCCUGGACAAAAGACUGACGCUCAUGUGCGAAAGCGUGGGGAGCAAAACAGGGAUUAGAUACC